rnacentral:piRNA from 1 species
CUAACAUGUGCGGUUGGUAAUUUGUGC